rnacentral:rRNA from 1 species
UACGUAGGGGGCUAGCGUUGCUCGGAAUUACUGGGCGUAAAGCGCACGUAGGCGGCUUUCUAAGUCGGAGGUGAAAUCCUGGAGCUCAACUCCAGAACUGCCUUCGAUACUGGAGAGCUUGAGUCCGGGAGAGGUGAGUGGAACUGCGAGUGUAGAGGUGAAAUUCGUAGAUAUUCGCAAGAACACCAGUGGCGAAGGCGGCUCACUGGCCCGGUACUGACGCUGAGGUGCGAAAGCGUGGGGAGCAAACAGG